ACUGGAAUCCCCUGGGGAUCUUGUUCAAAUGCAGAAUCUGAUUCAUUAGGCCUAUUAGGUCUGAGAUUGUGAAUUUUGAACAAGCUCCCAGGUGAUGCUGAU
rnacentral:pre_miRNA from 1 species